rnacentral:rRNA from 1 species
CAGAGGGUGCGAGCGUUAAUCGGAAUUACUGGGCGUAAAGCGCGCGUAGGCGGUUUGUUAAGUCGGAUGUGAAAUCCCCGGGCUCAACCUGGGAAUUGCAUUCGAUACUGGCAAGCUAGAGUAUGGGAGAGGAAGGUAGAAUUCCAGGUGUAGCGGUGAAAUGCGUAGAGAUCUGGAGGAAUACCGAUGGCGAAGGCAGCCUUCUGGCCUAAUACUGACGCUGAGGUGCGAAAGCAUGGGGAGCAAACAGGAUUAGAUACCCUGGUAGUCCAUGCCGUAAACGAUGUCAACUAGCCGUUGGGGGAUUUGAUCCUUUAAGUGGCGCAGCUAACGCGGAGUAAGUUGACCGCUGGGGAGUACGGUCGCAAGACAUAAAACUCCAAUGGACUUUGACCGGGGGCCGGACAAGCGGUGGAGCAUGUGGUUU